rnacentral:rRNA from 1 species
GAUGAACGCUGGCGGCGUGCUUAACACAUGCAAGUCGAGCGAAGCAGUUAAGUUGAUUUCUUCGGAUUGAUUCUUAACUGACUGAGCGGCGGACGGGUGAGUAACGCGUGGGUGACCUGCCCCAUACCGGGGGAUAACAGCUGGAAACGGCUGCUAAUACCGCAUAAGCGCACAGAGCUGCAUGGCUCGGUGUGAAAAACUCCGGUGGUAUGGGAUGGGCCCGCGUCUGAUUAGGCAGUUGGCGGGGUAACGGCCCACCAAACCGACGAUCAGUAGCCGGCCUGAGAGGGCGACCGGCCACAUUGGGACUGAGACACGGCCCAAACUCCUACGGGAGGCAGCAGUGGGGAAUAUUGCACAAUGGGGGAAACCCUGAUGCAGCGACGCCGCGUGAGCGAAGAAGUAUUUCGGUAUGUAAAGCUCUAUCAGCAGGGAAGAUAAUGACGGUACC